CUACUGACUGCCCCGAAUCUGCCCAUUUUUGGUUAUAAAAACGGAACUGUUUUCACCAAAUCAGUCACUACCCCAUGUAAACUCAACAUUUUUGAGUACUACCACUUGGGUUAACUACUAAACAAAUAUAUCUAACAUCCAUUUUUGACGGAUCACAAAAAGAAGUCAUAGAUUUAAAACGGUGAAAUUUCAAAGUACUAGGAAAUUUCGGAUUCAAAACUAGAAAA
rnacentral:lncRNA from 1 species